ACUCAAAGGAAUUGACGGGGACCCGCACAAGCGGUGGAUGAUGGGGUUUAAUUCGACGCAACGCGAAGAACCUUACCGAGGCUUGACAUCCUGCGAAUUGAUUGGAAACAAUCGAGUGCCUUCGGGAAUGCAGUGACAGGUGCUGCAUGGCCGUCGUCAGCUCGUGUCGUGAGAUGUUGGGUUAAGUCCCGCAACGAGCGCAACCCUUGUUGUCUGUUGAAUAUUUCAGGCAAGACUGCCCGGGCUAACCGGGAGGAAGGUGGGGAUGACGUCAGGUCAGCAUGGCCCUUACGCCUCGGGCCACACCCGUCAUACAAUGGCCGGUACAAUGCGUAUGCCAACCCGCGAGGGGGAGCUAAUCGCAUCAAAACCGGUCCCAGUUCGGAUUGCAGGCUGCAACUCGCCUGCAUGAAGUCGGAAUCGCUAGUAACCGUAGGUCAGCAUACUACGGUGAAUACGUUCCCGGGUCUUGUACACACCGCCCGU
rnacentral:rRNA from 1 species